rnacentral:misc_RNA from 1 species
GGAAAUAACAUUACAACUGACUCAUUUACAUUGCACAACCAGUAUUGGGGAAGUGGUCUUCGCAGGAGAAAGUUGAACAAGAAUCAUCUGAACUCUGUCAUUUCCGAAAGGCCUUUCACUGCGCGAUUCUGAGACACAGUUUCUCAAACAUGUUAUCAAACUAUGUGUCACAGUAUGUUGUUUACUAUGUUGUAAAAUCUAUCUACUUUUGUUGCAGAGAGUGGAUCCAGCUAUUUUCCCAGUGUAUUGGUUCAUGUAAAAUAAGGAUUUGUG